rnacentral:misc_RNA from 1 species
CCUAAUCAGUCUUCCCCAAAUAGCCAAGAGAGAGCGGGACCAUCAGAAUUUCAAUCUUUUUCGGAUUCUAUAAAAUCUAAAUUAAAUGCUGUUUCAAUGAGAUACAAAGAAUCAAUUUCAAAGAGUACAAGGGGAUGGAAAGAGAGAUUUUUUUCUCGUAGCAGUACUAUGGCAGAUCUUGGUUCUGAGGUUAGAAGAGAGGUUAAUGCUGGAAUCGCAACAGUAUCACGAAUGAUGGAACGUCUAGAAACAAGAGAAAACAAUAGAACCAGUACUUCUGCAUCAAACAAUGAGGAGGAUAGCUCAGUCUCAGUAACAGAAUCAAACAACCAACAAAUAUCAGAAACUGGUGGUGGCAAUCCUACAAGUAAUACAAAUACCAAUAUGCAAGCUCCAUGCGCUGCAAGUUCUGGUUCAGAUUAAGCAUAAUUUCAAUAAUUGCAUCAACCUCAACUGUUAAUUGAGAUAAAAAUGCAGGAUGCUGUUGAUGAGAUAUUAUCCAACUGCAGUCUAAUGGAUAGUUUUGUAAACAGGGUGGUGAUUAAAAUCAGAUUCAUAAUAAAGAUGCUGGAGCAAAAGGUCUUUUAUUUGGACUCGAAUACUGAUAGAUGAUUGUAAAUCAGUUCAUAGUUAAAUUCACUAAACCCUCACGCUAUGUUUCCUGAGUAUUUAAUAUUAUAAUAACACGACUGUGGAUUUUUUUUCUCUAAAAAAA